UACGUAGGGUGCGAGCGUUAAUCGGAAUUACUGGGCGUAAAGCGUGCGCAGGCGGUUCGCUGUGUCCGAUGUGAAGCCCCGGGCUUAACCUGGGAAGUGGCAUUGGAAACUGGCGGGCUUGAGUGUGGCAGAGGGGGGUGGGAAUUCCGCGUGUAGCAGUGAAAUGCGUAGAGAUGCGGAGGAACACCGAUGGCGAAGGCAGCCCCCCUGGGCUAACACUGACGCUCAGGCACGAAAGCGUGGGGAGCAAACAGG
rnacentral:rRNA from 1 species